rnacentral:rRNA from 1 species
AUUGAACGCUGGCGGCAGGCUUAACACAUGCAAGUCGAGCGGAAACGAUGAAAAGCUUGCUUUUCAGGCGUCGAGCGGCGGACGGGUGAGUAAUGCUUGGGAAUAUGCCUUAUGGUGGGGGACAACAGUUGGAAACGACUGCUAAUACCGCAUAAUGUGCUUGCUGUGGUGGCAAGUACCAAAGGGGGGGCUCUUCGGACCUCUCGCCAUUAGAUUAGCCCAAGUGAGAUUAGCUAGUAGGUGAGGUAAAGGCUCACCUAGGCGACGAUCUCUAGCUGGUUUGAGAGGAUGAUCAGCCACACUGGGACUGAGACACGGCCCAG